CGCAUCAGAGCAUCGGGCCGUAUAGUGUGAGACCCUGCAUCGUGACCUACGAACUUCUAACCCCUGCGAGUCAAUCGUACAGUUUGAGCAGGCGCUGAAUAACGCCACUGAAAAAAUCGCACAGCGUAUGCCCAAGGCUCCGCCGAUGCUGAUGGAAAUGGACAAAACGUUAAGAAACGCAAAGCCAGAGGAACAGACUAACACACACUAAUGCUGUUUUUGACCUCUAUUUAUGCCCUCAGUAGGCGUGACCUUACGGCCGCACUUCAAAGCACGGCCGCACUUCAAAGCACUCAGCCUUUUGACGCGUCACCUAAUCUUCGUUCUAAUGGCGCAACUCCUCCCAGUCAUUCAUAAUCCGACCUCCGCGUUUGCACUCGCUGCCUACAAGAGCUCCCAAAUGUGAACAUCACUGAUGUUCAUCGGAUUUGCAGAGUGACGACAACCCCCGCCAGCAUGUUAGAUAAAGGAUUUAAGUUAUAUGCUGCAUCACACAACUACGAAGGUAAGAAAACGUAAAUUAACCGACAAAGAAACGUUAGCUAACGUGAAAUGCAAACACUACGUUACUCCGCUAUGUGUUUCAUUUGAUGUCAAUUCUCUGCAUUACAUGUUUCCUUAAAUGGUGUUUAUAGUUGAGGUUUAACUAAUGUCACUUUUGUUGUUAGACACUUUUAUAAUAGCGUUAGGUAGUUGGCUAACUAAGCAGGUAGUUAACUACCCAAUGCUACUCUUGCUACGUGUAAAGUAUAUAUGUUUAAGACGUGCUGACAUGAGUAGUACAGAAAUAAUGCUAAUGGUACUUGUAUCUUUAUUCAGUGUCCAAAAAACACAGGUUGACAGGGGAGGUCGGUGUGAGAGCCCUGUGCUACAGGUCAAUGAGGAAGAGUGAGGCACCACCACACAGACUAAGUGUAGGCAGGAAGCUGUGUAAAGUUGUUAAUCCCUGUUCAGUGGGGUUCAGUUCAUUUAAGCAUUAGUUAAGUUCAUUCCUGAAGGCCCAUCAACUUGAAUGUUUUCCUUGUCCCCCUGCUUUAUCACACCUAAUUUGACUAGUCAGAUGUGUUUGGGUGAUCAGAAACAAAUUUACACCAAGUUAAUACGGCAAAUAUACACAAUCUAAGUUAUUACAGUUAUCAAGGAUGGUUAAAUUGUUUAAAUAGGGAGAGAAGGAAACACUAAGCAUUCAGGAGGGUAAGCCUGUAGGGUCAGUAACCAUAACACUGAACUAUGUUCCUGUUUGGCUCUUCCAUGAAGAUGAUGUUACAUUUUUAAUUUUCGUUCUUUCUUCUUAGAUUAAGCUUCUGGAUUCAUCGCUGGUGGUACUGACACAUAGCCAGUGCUCCUGUGUGGCAGGUGCUGUUAUGUGCAAUCACACAGUGGCACUGCUCUUCCAAACAGCACACUACUCACAACUCAGAGUGCCGGUUAUCCCCCUGUGCAUAGCUGCACCGAAUCUGAACAGCAAUGGCACAAGCCACGGACAGUGGGUGUGAAGCCAGGACCUAUCAACUCUAUGAUCUUCACUAAGCCGGUACCAAAUAGGAUGGCCCAGACUGGAGCACGGAGUGGAUUCUACAGAGGCACUGUGGGUCCAUUACCAGAUCCCUGACCUGACAAGCCCCUUGUGGAAAGUGCCUUUGGGCUGGUGAAGGAGGGCAGUGUUCUGCCAUGUCAGCAGCCGGUUUUGACAACCCGGUACAUCACACUACACCGUGAUGCACCACCAACACCGCACUUGCCUCUGGAGGGUAUGACAUCAAGGAAACCCUGCUCGCUCAGACAGCCUGUGAUAUUUUCUCAAACCGCUGCGCUGAACAAGUUUCCAAAGAACAUGCUGUGUGACACAAUAAAUAUCCUUUAACCUGUUAACCUGUGGCUUCUGGAAGAAACUCGGGUGAGUCAGUCACUGCAAACACAUUUGUAUCAUCAAGUGUUUGUCAAAUGAAA